rnacentral:lncRNA from 1 species
UUCUGUGAGUCAGGAAUUUAAAGGAACUUAGUUGGGUGGUUCUGCCUCGCUGACUCUUAUGAGGUUGGACAAUGCUGCAGUCAUCCAGGGUGGGAGGAUCCACUUCCAAAACGUCUCACUCACAUGACUAUUGGCAGAAAGCCUCAGUUCCUUGAAAAUGUGGACUUCUCUGCAGGCCUUCUGGAGUGUCCUCCUGACAGCAACUGGCCUUUCCCAGAGAGAGUGAUCCAACAGAGAGAGCAAGUAGGAUAUAGCUGCGCCUUUCAUGACAGCCUCAGAAGCCACAAAUCACCGUGUCUGCUAUGUUUUAUUCAUCAGAAGUGAGUCGCUGAGUCCAACCAUAUUCACAGGGAGGCAAAGUAAGCUCUACCUCUUAAAGGAAAGGAGUAUCCAAGAAUUUGUGGAUAUAUUUUAAAACGGCCACAGACCUCAGAUGGACAGAAUUCAACUCAUCACAUUUCUUGGUUCUUGACACGCUCUCCUCGUUAGUCCAUCACAUAUUGCACGGAUUCAUUCAUAUCGCUGCAUGUAGGCUGCUUUGACCUGCUGUAGAAUAUCUCAUUGUGUGGAUGCACAUGUGGAUCACUGAGUAUGUCAGAGCUGGCAAGAUACGUCAGAAGAGAAAGGAGAAACUCUUAACUAAAUAGAGUUGGAAAUAAAAUAAUUGUCUGUAUGGAAUAAGAUCAAAGGUCCCACAUGUUAAAGUCAACCCCAGAUGAAUUAAAGUCUUACAUGUCAAAAAAAAUUGAAACUUUUAGAAGAAAAUUAAGGUGGAUAUAUUUUAGACCUUAAGGUAGAGAAAGAUUUCUUAAAGAAGACACUUACAGGAUUGAUUACAAACAAAAAGACUGGUACAUUUGAAUGUAUUAUGUUAAGAACUUUUCCACCAAAAGAAAGCCUCGAUUUCCUCAUUUUUAAGAUGAGGAUAAUAAUCCCUACCUUAUAGAAUUCUAAUAAGAUGAAAUGAAGCAACAUAUACAAAAUACUUAGCACAGAUCCUAACACCUACAAAAUAAUAAAUGGUAACGAUUAUUAUUCUUCUCAAACAACAAUCCUAUUAUUUAUCAAAUAAUACUGAGUAAUAUGACAAGACAUAUUUAAACCACACAAGCCAUAUGCAGACAAGUGUUUAAUAUCAUAGUGAUAGUUUCAAGAGAGAGAUAAUAAUUUAUUCUACAUUUAUCAGAGGUCUAUAGCCCAGUAGUCAAUAAAUACUUAUCUAUAGUCAAUAAGUACUAUCAAGCAUCCAUGCCAGGAACCAUGCUAGGGGCUGAUUAAUUUACAUCAAUCACCAUGACUUUUUUCCCACAAACUAACACACACACAAUCUUCAUAGAUUUUUCUGUGAUCACAGCAAGGAAAAGACCUACGCAUGUUUGGAUCAUCUGUGUACAGUCCUACAGAAGAACUUUGACACUAUCAGAGACAGAAAUCUCAGAAUAGUCCAACUCUCACUUAUUUGUGCUAAUGAAAGAGUAAAGUAAAAGAGACAAUUAAAAUGGGAAAUGUGUUUUGUUUUGUUUUGGUGUUUUGUUUUACAAGUAUGCAAAAACCUCAAAUCAACCUGACCCAACAAUAAGGAAGCAAGUCAGAAAAAGGCAGUCUUCCAGAGCUGUUUGUUCAGCAGCUCAGUAAUGCCAUGAAGGUUUGCUUCCUUUCUCUGCUUUGUGUUUCUGGAGAGAGUCCGCAUACAUUUCAAUAUGGCUGACAGCAGUUCUGGAAUGUAUAAAGCCUUGCAUAAAGAAAAUGACAGUUCACUAUGAAAAUCUGAUUCGGAUGAUGUUGAAAAUAGAUUUAGUGUCUGCUCUGCCUCUCUGUUUUCUAGGACUUCACCACCUCACAGACUUUGUACACUCAUGGUUCACAACUUCCUCACUGUGUUUUCUUUAACGAGUAGAAGAUAAAUAAGCUUUAAGAAAUAGUAAAUUAUAUCAAAAUAGACUUUAUCAUAUAAUUUGCCUAAUUAUGUACCUUCAGUAAGUGUUUAUUGAACUCUGGGGUGUCAACAAUUUUUUAUUCAGCUCUCAUAAGUAAUAUUUGCUUAGAAAUCUACCCAUAAAUAGGAUAACAACUUUCAUAAAACAAGAAUUUAUACCUAGCUAACAUGAAAAAGCUAAACAUCCCUUGAAGUACAAUUCUCCUGAAAAUCAUCCCAAUAUGGUUUAUUGAGGCUGAUGGAUUUGGACACCAGCUCUUAAGAAAAAAGAUAAAGAGGAAAGCUACUGCCUGCCACAACAUAUUCUUUUUCCCAAGAGCUGGUAAGUUUCUUCCAUAUGUGGAAUCCAAUAACGUUCGGAACAUUCUUUUCUCUUUCUGGUAAUGUGAUAUACCCAACGUGGGCCUAUGAUACAAGGAAGGAGAGUAGAUCAGGAGUCAAAAACCACAGGUCCUAGUUCUGGUUCUAUCAUUUCUUUGCUGUGAAAGUCUGGACCAGUGACUUCAUAGCUCUGAGUUUCUGUUGUGUCAUUCUUCAAGUCAGGUCAUCAUUUGCCUUCCCUACUUCACAGGUAGUAUACAGUAAUCUUUUCAAAAGCCCUUUAGAGGACAUAACACAACCUUAUGUUUAUUUUCUGCUAGAGCAUGACUCCCUUGAGGGCUUGGAGCAUGUCUUAAUCAAAUUUGUAUAUUCCACCAUUCCUACCCCAGACCUAUUAUUAGGUGCUCAAUAAAUGUUGAUUUUAAAUGACAGCUGUCAUGAAAUAAAUGAAAACAGAAGCCAACAGUGACGGUUUGAGCUGCCUGCUGGCUGGCAUGUGACACUUAACAUCUAAAGAGUGAUAGUGGCAGCUAAAGUGCGGAAGGAAUCCACUUUAUGAAACUAUCUGAGCAGUGAAGCACUGGAAAUCACAGAGUCUCCUUUUGGCUAUUUUACAUUUAGAUAUGAAAGCUUGUCAGGCUGGGCUGAGAAUAGACAAUGAGAAACUAACACAUUUCAACAGGUUUUGAAUAGUUUCCCAGUGAAGAAUUUUCCUGGCCUCUCUCCACCCUGGUUUUUAUCCCUCUUCUUGGGAGUUAUUUUUCGCAAAUGUACCCCAUGAUUGGCAAAUUUCAGAAGAAUAACUGGGGUUGGCUCAGUUCAGCUCCUCCCCGUCCUUCUCCUGAGUCUGCUUCCAAAGGCAAUCUGCAAGGGAGGAAUAAAGCAACUCAGGGAAGGGAAAAAGAGAUGUGAAGAAGGAAAGAAAUUGGAAGACCCAAAACAACAUGAUGGUUAGUAGAGCUAAUGAAAAUGAGGAAGCUCCAAUAAUAUCUGGUUUUUUUUCUCUGACUUUGUGAAAACCAUUUGUUAUUAUGAUACGACAAUGUAAUCAAUGGUACUCAGUAAAGUCAGUACCCCAAAAUUCGG